UAAAUUUUGGAAAAUUGUUGAGAGUAAGAUGUUUUUUCGGACUUUAAGGAAAAAAUGGGAGAAAACUUGAAUGAAGUUAACACGUUGUCAAUUUCUUUUACACAAAGAAUUAGAACGUAACAUUGGUUAUCUGACGAACCCCAUUAUCAGUCGGAUUUAUUAGCCGCCUUAGCCUCAAUGGCGUACAUGUUUGAGGGUCCAGAAGCCGCUAAAACUUUAUUGUUUCAGAGCAUACAACUGGAAAAGCCGUCGCCUUGGGGCUUCUACGCCACCCUCUCUCUAGGUUUACUCCAAGACGACUUCAACCUAUCCGAACUAGUUUUAAGCGAACUGAACGUUUUAAAGGAUAGAAAAGAGUGCAUAGAACAUUUUGCAGUUUUGAAAAGUUAUUUCUAUUUACUGAAAGUUUGUUGCUAAAACCGCUAUUAGAGAACUAAGCAAAAUAAUCCAUCGCCACCCAGAUCAAGCGUCAGCGUGGCUAACAUUAUCGUCCUUGUUGAUUUGCUUAAACAAGGAAAAACGGUUCUCUAAAGCUGCCGCCAAAUGUGCUCAUAUUGCGAUGGAAUUAGGACAAAGUAGUAUGAAUGUCACAAAGGUUUUGAGCUUGGUCGCUCUAUCGUUUUUCGUUGGUGGUGAUAAAAAAAGUGCACUUUCAAUGGCUCAGAAAGCGAUACACUGUUAUCCCAAUAUGGCUGAAAACUGGGCUGUUUUUGUUGUUAUUCUAUUACGGACAGCCAAACUGCCAGAAAAUCGCGUUAAGGAUGUUUUAAGCUUCGCUCGAACUUUAGAUACUGGUGAAAAUUUAAGCCAGUGGAUGCAAAAAACAAUGUUUGAGUAACGUACUUAAUAAAAUGUGUUCCACUU